UAUUGGUCAAUCCUGAAGGCAGCGGCAUAGCUGAUUGGGCUAUCGGACGUCAGUCAAAUAUCCGGUUGCCCGCCUGCCGCCCUAACGCAACAACGUCCUACCCUUCUACAACGGUGAUUGGUUCGUUCUCCCGCAGUCCUGCACAACCAUUGGACAUAAUUGGUGUCCAUCAUCAGCCACCCACGUGCGGAACCAUCACGUUCGGGUGACGCCCGACACGGAGAGCCCACCCCCCUUUCCGGAUUUGUAUUGGUCCAUCCUGGAACAAAUGCAGAGAUGAUUGGACAAUUGCGGUGCCAAUCAGCUCACCGGCUGCCCGGCAGCAAGAUCGGUUGAGCUAGACCCGGAAGUCGGCCUCCAUUUUAACCAUUGUUACGGUGGAAGGAGGGGGAGAUUCGGGUCAUCGCUCAUAGCAACGGGAACCGGGCAAGAAAAGAAAUAAAAUAUCCCCCUUCCCUUCCAACCCCAGCUUACCCCCUCUCCCUUGCGAUCUAAUUAUAUUUUUAAUUGUUUCCCAUAAAGAGAAAAAAAACCUAUUUUUUAAAAAAAGAAUUACAAUGGCGGUUAUGAAGCCCGAGGCCUAACUUCACUCCUGAAGCCUCGGGGUCGAGUAGGUGGUCAGCCCGUACCGGCGCGCUUCGAUCCCGGGGUCCAUGAGGCGCUGAAGCUGAAGGGAUUUUUCUUUUGAGGAAAAGAAGAAAAUAAAGGAAACAAAUCAAAACAAAAGACACAGAUAUCGCCCGGAGCUCCCUCCAACCGCCCCCCUGCAACAACCACCCACCCAGCCCCCAUCAAAUAAUCACUGGAGGGAGGUAAUCAGCCAAGUAACAGGUGUGACCAGUGGACAAGUGUGAGCAGCGGUGACUUCCCAAAACCAGC